UUCACAUGAUGAGGACAUUCUAGGAUGUAAUCUUGAAAGCGCUACCAGGCUUCUAGGACAGUCUCAUCAUUGUGUUGCUGAAAACUUGAAAUUUUCCCACGCA
rfam:Sorghum bicolor cultivar BTx623 chromosome 3, whole genome shotgun sequence.